UAACAAUUUUCGGAGAGAUUACGUGAAGGAAGCAAUCAUUACGAACACAGAGUCAAAGUAAAGAAAUAGCUCUAUAGCAGUAAUUGCUACUGUAGCUUUGAAGAAGUGAACUUGUGAGGUGUGAAUUCCCUUGUUAUAGAAGACGUCGGGUUAUGUUCUGAUUAUUGAAGUCUCGGCUGGGUUUUUAUGACACUGGAACUCUUCCCUGCGCGGAGGAUGGCGAGCCACCAAGACUGAAUCACCUCGGAGGAAACCCUUCCGUGUGCACCUUCUGUGUGGUAGGACUGAUCGUUAACCACACAAUUGACUGAAUCUUCUUUUUUUGAAUUAUCCAACCGGAUACUAUCGGGUAGGAUUGAAACACACACUUGAUUGAACAACGUUGGAAUUCUCAUCUGGACUAUUCUAUUUUUUGUAGUUUGAACAUUGUUGCAACUGCGAAACCAUAACUUUUAUGGGUGCACCCUGUUCUUUGGGACUGUUGGUUAAUAGCUCAUAACUGGAAAUACCAGAACACACAUACACUGAUAUAACAAAGAACCAACUUUAUUUUGGGUCAUUGAGAAUUGUGUAUGUAUAUGAUUGAGAAUACAUUUUAUGCUUUACUUAA